rnacentral:rRNA from 1 species
ACGAACGCUGGCGGCAUGCCUAACACCUGCAAGUCGAACGAGACCUUCGGGUCUAGUGGCGCACGGGUGCGUAACGCGUGGGAACCUGCCCUUAGGUUCGGAAUAACUCCCCGCAAGGGGUGCUAAUACCGGAUAAUGUCUUCGGACCAAAGAUUUAUCGCCUUUGGAUGGGCCCGCGUUGGAUUAGCUAGUUGGUAGGGUAAAAGCCUACCAAGGCGACGAUCCAUAGCUGGUCUGAGAGGAUGAUCAGCCACACUGGGACUGAGACACGGCCCAGACUCCUACGGGAGGCAGCAGUGGGGAAUAUUGGACAAUGGGCGAAAGCCUGAUCCAGCAAUGCCGCGUGAGUGAUGAAGGCCUUAGGGUUGUAAAGCUCUUUUACCCGGGAUGAUAAUGACAGUACCGGGAGAAUAAGCUCCGGCUAACUCCGUG